rnacentral:snRNA from 1 species
AUCACUUCUUGGCCUGUUGGCUAAGAUCAAGUGUAGUAUCUGCCCUUGUCAGUUUAAUAUCUGAUAUGUCCUCUAUUCAAAAUUCUGAGAUUCUGACUUAACUGAUCAAGGGUAGGACCUAGUCACUAGUAACUGUAAGAAUUUCCCUGAAGCAAAAGCUUAACAGGGCCUAA